rnacentral:rRNA from 1 species
CCUACGGGAGGCAGCAGUGGGGAAUAUUGCACAAUGGGGGAAACCCUGAUGCAGCGACGCCGCGUGAGUGAAGAAGUAUUUCGGUACGUAAAGCUCUAUCAGCAGGGAAGAAAAGGACGGUACCUGACUAAGAAGCCCCGGCUAACGACGGGCCAGCAGCCGCGGUAAGACGUAGGGGGCAAGCGUUCUCCGGAUUUACUGGGUGUAAAGGGAGCGUAGACGGCAGCGCCAGGCGGAAGUGAAAUCCCAGGGCUUAACCAUGGAACUGCUUUGGAAACUGUGCAGCUGGAGUGCAGGAGAGGUCAGCGUCAUUCCUCUUGUAGCGGUGCAUUUCGUAGAUAUUAGGAG